UCCACGGUAGCUACAGUGGUAGAGCGUCCGACCGGUGUGCGGAAGGUCAUAGGUUCGACUCCUGUUGGGAGGAA